rnacentral:rRNA from 1 species
AUUGAACGCUGGCGGCAGGCCUAACACAUGCAAGUCGAGCGGUAGCACAAGAGAGCUUGCUCUCUGGGUGACGAGCGGCGGACGGGUGAGUAAUGUCUGGGAAACUGCCUGAUGGAGGGGGAUAACUACUGGAAACGGUAGCUAAUACCGCAUGACGUCUUCGGACCAAAGUGGGGGACCUUCGGGCCUCACGCCAUCAGAUGUGCCCAGAUGGGAUUAGCUAGUAGGUGGGGUAAUGGCUCACCUAGGCGACGAUCUCUAGCUGGUCUGAGAGGAUGACCAGCCACACUGGAACUGAGACACGGUCCAGACUCCUACGGGAGGCAGCAGUGGGGAAUAUUGCACAAUGGGCGCAAGCCUGAUGCAGCCAUGCCGCGUGUAUGAAGAAGGCCUUCGGGUUGUAAAGUACUUUCAGCGAGGAGGAAGGCAUUGUGGUUAAUAACCACAGUGAUUGACGUUACUCGCAGAAGAAGCACCGGCUAACUCCGUGCCAGCAGCCGCGGUAAUACGGAGGGUGCAAGCGUUAAUCGGAAUUACUGGGCGUAAAGCGCACGCAGGCGGUUGAUUAAGUCAGAUGUGAAAUCCCCGAGCUUAACUUGGGAACUGCAUUUGAAACUGGUCAGCUAGAGUCUUGUAGAGGGGGGUAGAAUUCCAGGU